CCUCCCGGGCGCCCUUCCAGCCCCGCCCCCCACGCCAACAUUCCAUUCCCCCGCGGUCCACGUGGCUGUCACUUCUGGAGUCGCCGACGGGAUCCGGGGAGAUAACUGGGGCCGCUGUUGGAGGAUAAGGAGGCCGGGCGUAGGUGGUGUGGCGCGUUCCUGAUCCCGGUCCUCCCGUUACCUUCUGACGCGCCUGCUCCCCACCCCCCUUUGGCCGCGGUCCCUGCCUGUUACCUCUGCUGCAGUGUGGUUCUUCCACUCGCACCCCUGAGAGAUGGGCUGGCAGCGGCUUUCCCUGCAGGGCAGCGCCGCAGAGGAGCUGAGCCGGCCGUUCGGAGACACCCCAAGCCGAGGACAGGACUGAGCUGCCUCAGAGACCGCCGUCGCCGACCGACCGUCAGUCCAGCCAGCAGACGCUCUGCGUCUGCGAAGGGUGGGCCUGGGAAGGAGGGACGGAGAAGAACGGCGUAAGAUGCAAACGAACUUUACCAGCAAAGUGGCUACUCGAGAUUUAAAUGAGAAGGUAGUAAAAGAGCCGGGAGGAGCCGGGCUGAUGAGUGAGAUGAAUUUGCCAGAUGAUGAGAAGAUGAAUGGUGGCUCACCGUCCGGCUCUUGCAGUGUGUGCCAAGCCCAUCUUAGAAGACUUAGCCCCCACCCAUUUUACAGAUGCAAACACUGGCACAGAGAGGCAAAGAAGUUGCCUAGGGUCACACAGUGGAGGCUGGUUUGUCUAAAACUAACUCCCAAGCCCUUCGUUACUAAUCUGUACCGUGACCACGAAAUUGCUAGAGUUGGAAGGGGGUUUCCUGUUUCCCUGGUGCACAGAAAGUGUGAGCUGGGGAGGAGGGUCAGGAGGAACUUGGGAUUUUGUACAGGGUAGCACCUGAACCAAAGCCACAGAGUUAAUGAAUCCAAUUUGCCCAGAACAGUGUUGACUCUCAUGUCCUCUGGCUACUUGGUUGUUACAUCAUAAAUGCUUAUGUGGCUCUUGCCGCUUGGACACCACAACAAUUCUACCUCUAGUCCUACAGAGGUCAGACAGAUGUUCCCUACUUAAAAGUCAGGAGGACUUUCAGUGGCCCUAAGGGCCAGGGCACUGCCUCUCUCUCUGGCCCUGGAAGAUCUUCAAGUUAGCGAUCGUCUCAAAUCUGGGUGAUUCUAGAACAAAGACAGAGUUGCAUCCCAUUUUAACCCAGCUGGAGCAGGCACAGAACUUUGGAACCAGGCCUUACUCCUGUCCAGGUGCUCCUGGAUUGCUUUGCCUCUGAACUUUUCCUUUCUGACCUUGCCCUUUGGAGUCCUCUAACUCAUCUCAUUCUUGCCUUUCUGGAUUGAAAGAAUAAAAGAAAGAAGAUCAGAUCUGACGAGUUUCGCCUGUUCUGGAAACCGAUGCACAUGGACUCACCCUCCACUUUGUUUUUGCUGAAUUAUUUUAAAGCAAACCCCAGAUCUCAUGUUAUUUCAUCUCUAUAUAAUUUGAAUCAAGGAGCCCUUUGUUUUGCACACAGCCCAUGCUCACCACGGCGGAGAAGACAGCCACAAAGAACAGACUUACCGUACACUCUAGCACAAGACUCUUCACAUGGAGUGUGGCGAGUGCAAGGCUGAGUUCUGUGACCGAGAGAAGUGUUCUCGAAUUCUCCCCACCUAUUGGUCCUGGAAAACCUCUCCCUCUUGCUUCUCUGCCAUAGAGCACGUCCUGGGAGCAGGUUCAGCAGCUUACUGCCCACUCCACUCAUUAAUCCUAUGCGUGCUUCAGGCUCUUGGAGCCUUUCCCAAACCUUUAAUAUCCACUUGCCCCCUCCUCCCCCCCCCCAGAAAAGGCCCCUGGCUCUCCCCGAGCCACCAGGAGCCAUGUUCUAAUAUACAGCACUCUGGAAUAUGUCAUGCCAAAAAAGGAACGACCAGAAUAGUUGUUUGAUGCCAUCUCUGCACUGGGCUUUGUGCCAAAGCAUUAUACAUUUGAGAUUUCAUUUAAUCCCCCCUGGCUGCCUUAUGAGGCAGGAAUUGUUCUGCCCACUUGGCAAAUGAGGAGAGUGAGCCUCAGACGGAGCUUGAAAUAUUUGUUUGAGAACUAGGAGCCCACCUUCCUACCUUGGAGCCCCUGCCAGCCUCUCAGUAUUUCAGUGGCAUGACUUCUGGACGUGGUGUGGCCUCAAGGAUCGCUUCCACGCCCCUCCCCACGAUUCUGGGCACGGCAAAGGCCGGCAGGACUUGGAUCCGCCUGCAUCUGGCUAGACCAGCAAUGCCUCCUCCCAGGCCUCCUGGACACCAAAGUAGAGAAGCACGGUCACCUCCCCUCCCCCCGAAGACCUCAUGAUCUCCCCAGAACUUGAUGACGUGCAGAGAAAUGGGGCAGGAAGAAUUCUCUGGAGACAGCGCCUUUUAUUUUAUUUCAUUUCACAAAUACAAUGAAAAAAAAAAAUCCUGCUAAUAGGAUUGCCGAGUCAGCAGGCCUAGGCAAGCUAUUCCAAGGAAAUGUAAAGCAUCCUGGCACACCUUGAGAUGGAUGACAAGUCAGGAACAAUGACAGGAAACCAGAAAUUAAUCAGAAGACUUGCCUUUCAUUAAAGGGUGAGGGCGGGGAGAGAGUUCAAGAGCAGGGGCACAGCCCUGACAACCCACUCCCGUUGAUUUUGUGCCACUGCUCUUGGGCCCCCACAGCUCCUGGGAGCAAAAGAAGCAGCCAAGGUGCUCCCCAUGCUUCCUGAGUGCUUGCAGCUGUGACAUGAGGACCGCCCCCUCCCUGACCGGAAGUGCUUGGUCUGUGAAGGGGGAACUUCCUCUGGGCCAGGUGUGAUAAACCCUCUGUGCUCUGGGCUUUGCCCUGGAGCCUCUCUGGGCCAAAAAAGGCCUGUCCUUUGUAAUCUUGGCCUAGCACCAGCAGCUCUGACUUGGGGCUGAUGGACCAGGACCAGCUUGUAAGUUGCUAGCUGCCAUCUCCCGGGUUGGGCUGAUCUUGUGUUGAUGUUCUGCACAUCGUGGACUUCUCUCUCACUCUGCCAGGCAGUGGGCCGCCUUAUGGGGCCGGGUGAGUGAGGGGGCCGGAGUCAGCGGGCUGGGGCUGAGAAGCACGGCGGACCCUUCCCAGGGCUGCACUGUGGGUAGGUGUUUCCCUCAUGGCUCACCCGGCCCCAGACUCCCUCCCUGGCAGCCAAGUCCAGGAGGGUAUUUUCCACCCCCCUUGGGCUCACUGGUGGAAAGAGGCAGUGGAGGGAUGCUCAGGUUAGAAAGGGUGUUGGGAUUGGAAAGAGAUUGCUGUCGGGAAGCCACAGCUAGAUUGUUGGUGGGGCCUUGCAAAGUCAACCAGCCCAUCUCUGUCUUGCUACUUAAUAACACUGAAAGUUGGAUGGUUUUGGUUUCACUCAAGAAGAGUACACGCCUCUUAGCAUGAUGAAAGUAACUGAAGAGGCAAUGUGGCAAUCCACACGACCGGGCGCCAGACCAUAGUGGAUGCCCAUUGGGUGCAUAACAGUGGCUUGAGCAGGGAAAAAGUGCCCACCUGAACACACAUUUCCUUCACUUCCUUCCUUUGGCAUUUCUUUCUUAUGGAUUAUAUCUUGGAACUUUUUCAGGUCAAGGCUGAUUUGGCAUCAGUUCCCUCCCUACCCCCCAUCCCCUUGAACAUUUGGGCUCCUGCUCAGACUUCAUUUUGAAGUUUCCUGCUAAGGACAUCUUUAGGAAAAACUUUCACAGUUAGGCUUUUGAAUUUUUCUUCCCCAAUGAUUCUACAUGCUGAGAGGAAGGUACUAAAGCCUUAGUCAUUGUGUGAGGCACGUGACAUCGUUUAUUCCUUCUAGGGCUGAACUUGGCAGGUUGUGACUUGCCCUAGGUCACAAUCCUAGUUGCAAACUGCCAUGCCUCCCUUUAAGUCCCUGCUCAGUCACCUCACCGCCUGGCCUCUCAGCUCUGUCAGUGACUGUUGGCAAAUGACCAUGAGCUUUGAACAAAACCCAUUUUACAAAUGGGUUUACAAAAUCUCUUUUGCACCCAUUAUCAAUGGGUUUGCACAAAACGCUGAGGUUUCAUGGACAUUUUUAUCACGACUUGUCAGCAUCUUCUUUCUUAACUCUGCUCCCUUUUUUCACGGAACCACACUUUCUUCUGUACAAUGAACUGGGUCUAGGGUCAGGCCAGUAGAUCCUGCCUCCCCCCUCUCCCGCCAAAAAAACAAAACAAAAACCAAACAAUUAAACAAACAAAAAAGAAAGCUGGGCCAGUCAUCAUCCCUCAUUCCGCUGGCUGCACUGAUUGACCCAAGAUGUACAUGUGCCCCAUGUUGGGCUAACCAGAGCUCUCGAGGAUUUUUACACUUUCAGCUGGAGGAGUAAACCUUUACCUCUUGGAGAGUAAUUAUAUAUGUUUGAACCCAGAGCUGAGGUUAGCGUUGUUCCAGGCUCUUAGAGAAAACAGAUUUGAGGAAUGAACCCAGAGGCCAAGGAGAGAAAUUGAAUCUUGAAGUGCUAGGAGACCCUUGUUUUAAUUCUUCCCGCUUUUCCUGUCAAAAUGAUUCUUUUUCGUCUAAGUCAGUUGAGUUAACUUUCUAGGAUACACAUUCAAAUAGUUCUCAGUGAGAGGCCAGCAGGAGUGCUUUUCUAGGGCAGCAACUGGAUGCAGGGCAGACAUUGCAUGUCAGUUGUUUUUAGAGGUGAAAGAAAGGAAAUGCCCCUGUUGGGUGAUCUGUAAAAAAGUAUCCAAACUCUGUUUGAUGCAAAUGACAAAAAACUACAGUUUAAACCGGUUCAGUCAACAAAGUAGAUAUAAUAGCUAAUGUAAUUUAGAAGUCUAAAGAGAAGUCUGCCUUCAGGUGAUGCUUGAUCCAGGCUCUACUAAUGUCUCGGAAGUCAUUACUUUACCUCUCUAAUCUGCCUUCCUUGGGUUCACAGAAUGACCCUCAGAAGCUUCAGGCUUCAGCCUUCCCCUUAGAGCAGCAGCAUGCCUCAGUUUCAGAUCUUCAGAGAAAGGAUAAUUUUCACCACAGAUUUUGUACAAGUACUGGGAUUUACUUUUCCUUGAUCACAGCUGCAUCAGAUGUCCAUCCUUAAAAUCAACAGUUGGUCUAGGAAGGGGGAUAUAUUGUGGGGAGGAUAAAAAGCAAUUCUGGCCAGACUUCAGAGCAGAGAAUGGAGGAGGGCAUAUUCUCUCAUCUGCUGGGGAGAGAAACAGUGAUGGAUGUGAUGGACAGAGCAGCACAUACCCACUGUGACCUUAUUGCUGAGGUCUCUGUGUAUAUAGGCUUGGGCUGGGAUUGGCUGAGAUGCUGGUGGAGGCCUAGCACGUAGAGAUGAGCUGAAGUGAAGGAUUUAAAAACAACUACAGAGGAAACAGACGUGAUCUAUAGCAGCUGGGCCCACUUUGCCAAGGGAUGUCACAUGUCCUGGUUGGCCAUCUGGGGACCCAGCAGAUGAUGUGUGACCCAGGCUUCCUUCUGACCCCCUGAUACCCAUGUGGUGGAGGAUUCUUAAUCUUGGCUUUCUGGGCACUCUCAACUUGACUGCCCAUUGAGGUCAAUACCAUGUCCUCUUUCCAGCUCUUCUACCCCUCUGUGUCUCAUAACCCUGAACCAGGUCCUAACCAGCUGUGUGCAUAGACCUGUGUGGUCCUGGCAGAGAGCAGGCCCCUUGGGGAUAAGAACGGGGAGGGAAGCGUAUUAGUGAACCCCUCUUGCUUACAACUGAGGCUCCAUCAGUGUCUGCUGAGUCAAAAAUUUUCAGGGCUUAAGCCAAUUUUCCUGAGUCUUAAAUUCUGGACAGCUGAACUCAAUCCCCUGACUGUGUGGUGAUUAGGAAGACACAGCUCCAAAAUAUGGUUCAGUUUUAUCACUUCUGGAAAAUGGACCUUUCCAAAUGCUUGAACAGCUGACCCUUUUGAAUUAUAUAUAAUAUGGAACAAUUAGAGACAACUUUAAUGUCCAUCACUAGGGUACCUCUCUGAUGGGAUGCUUGGCAGCUCUUUUUAAAGCAUGAAUUAGAAUCACAUGUCCUUUCCCUGUCAAGAUAUCCAGGAUCUAAGUUCAAGUGACAAAACAAAUCUCAGAGCAGUAUGUAAUACAAUGCCCCCUGCCUCGAACCACCACCAAAAUGUGCAGAAACAAAACUGUGAACAGCGAUCGCCUUUGAAAAAUGGCAUUGGGGCAGGGUACUUUCAUUUUUACUUCAUUUCUCUAUUGUUAUCUUUGAUGGUGAGCAUGUAAUUAAAAAAAAGAUUAAUACAAAAAAAGAAAAAUAACUCUAAAAGAAAAUAAAAAUAAGCCAUCAUGAUGGGCACGGUGGAUUGGUGCUCCACAUUCAUUCUGCCUCCUGGUGUCCCUUCUAAACUACAGAAGCCAGAAAUGGGAAAACUACAUCUCCCAGAAUCCCUUGCAGCUAGGAUUCUGGGUGUGACUUCUAUUUAUCCAGCUAGAGAGAUUUGGAAAGUGGACAUGAAGUCGAGGCCACUCUGAUGCUGCUGGCUCUGACAAGCACAGAUGAGGAGGGAGGGGGCUCUACUGGGGCAGUGUUAGUGGAAAUCUCAAUGUCUAAUCACUCGCUGACUUUGUGGGGACAGGGUGUGGGACACCACUUAUGGUCCUGGGUUAGAGUGACUGUGGUACACCUCUGCAGCACAGAAUGGAAGCUUUCCAGUUCAGAGGGUAGCUUCCUGGUGCUAGAAGAGUCAGCUGCUCCCCAGUGGCCUGAUUUUGCUGUGGCACUGGAAGUUGUACUUUUUUCAGCCUUUCCUAUGAUUCUAUAAAGUGGGAUAAACCUAUAAAAGGGAUAAACCCCUUUCUGGGGUUAGAAUGGAUUUUUUUGCUCAACAGAUAUACAGAAAUCUGA